GCCAUAGCUCAAUGGGAGAACAUCUGCUUUGCAUGGAGAAGGUCCCAGGUUCAAUCCCUGGUCUCUCCA